GGGUUGUGAGGUUAAGCGACUAAGCGUACACGGUGGAUGCCCUGGCAGUCAGAGGCGAUGAAGGGCGUGCUAAUCUGCGAUAAGCGCCGGUAAGGUGAUAUGAACCGUUAUAACCGGCGAUACCCGAAUGGGGAAACCCAGUGUGACUCGUCACACUAUCAUUAACUGAAUCCAUAGGUUAAUGAGGCGAACCGGGGGAACUGAAACAUCUAAGUACCCCGAGGAAAAGAAAUCAACCGAGAUUCCCCCAGUAGCGGCGAGCGAACGGGGAGGAGCCCAGAGCCUGAAUCAGCAUGUGUGUUAGUGGAAGCGUCUGGAAAGGCGCGCGAUACAGGGUGACAGCCCCGUACACAAAAGCGCAUGUGCUGUGAGCUCGAUGAGUAGGGCGGGACACGUGGUAUCCUGUCUGAAUAUGGGGGGACCAUCCUCCAAGGCUAAAUACUCCUGACUGACCGAUAGUGAACCAGUACCGUGAGGGAAAGGCGAAAAGAACCCCGGCGAGGGGAGUGAAAAAGAACCUGAAACCGUGUACGUACAAGCAGUGGGAGCCCCACCACUAAGCCAGUGGUGAACUCCACAUACGCAUCCUUUGCUGAGGAUACGGUUAACGGAGCGAAAGCGACGUUCAACCGCAAAAGAAGCAGAGGGGGCUUAGUGGUGGGGUGACUGCGUACCUUUUGUAUAAUGGGUCAGCGACUUAUAUUCUGUAGCAAGGUUAACCGUAUAGGGGAGCCGUAGGGAAACCGAGUCUUAACCGGGCGUUAAGUUGCAGGGUAUAGACCCGAAACCCGGUGAUCUAGCCAUGGGCAGGUUGAAGGUUGGGUAACACUAACUGGAGGACCGAACCGACUAAUGUUGAAAAAUUAGCGGAUGACCUGUGGCUGGGGGUGAAAGGCCAAUCAAACCGGGAGAUAGCUGGUUCUCCCCGAAAGCUAUUUAGGUAGCGCCUCGUGAAUUCAUCUCCGGGGGUAGAGCACUGUUUCGGCUAGGGGGCCAUCCCGGCUUACCAACCCGAUGCAAACUGCGAAUACCGGAGAAUGUUAUCACGGGAGACACACGGCGGGUGCUAACGUCCGUCGUGAAGAGGGAAACAACCCAGACCGCCAGCUAAGGUCCCAAAGUCAUGGUUAAGUGGGAAACGAUGUGGGAAGGCCCAGACAGCCAGGAUGUUGGCUUAGAAGCAGCCAUCAUUUAAAGAAAGCGUAAUAGCUCACUGGUCGAGUCGGCCUGCGCGGAAGAUGUAACGGGGCUAAACCAUGCACCGAAGCUGCGGCAGCGACGCUUAUGCGUUGUUGGGUAGGGGAGCGUUCUGUAAGCCUGCGAAGGUGGCCUGUGAGGGUUGCUGGAGGUAUCAGAAGUGCGAAUGCUGACAUAAGUAACGAUAAAGCGGGUGAAAAGCCCGCUCGCCGGAAGACCAAGGGUUCCUGUCCAACGUUAAUCGGGGCAGGGUGAGUCGACCCCUAAGGCGAGGCCGAAAGGCGUAGUCGAUGGGAAACAGGUUAAUAUUCCUGUACUUGGUGUUACUGCGAAGGGGGGACGGAGAAGGCUAUGUUGGCCGGGCGACGGUUGUCCCGGUUUAAGCGUGUAGGUGUGUGUUCCAGGUAAAUCCGGUUCACUUUAACACUGAGGCGUGACGACGAGGCACUACGGUGCUGAAGCAACAAAUGCCCUGCUUCCAGGAAAAGCCUCUAAGCAUCAGGUAACAUCAAAUCGUACCCCAAACCGACACAGGUGGUCAGGUAGAGAAUACCAAGGCGCUUGAGAGAACUCGGGUGAAGGAACUAGGCAAAAUGGUGCCGUAACUUCGGGAGAAGGCACGCUGACACGUAGGUGAAGUGAUUUACUCAUGGAGCUGAAGUCAGUCGAAGAUACCAGCUGGCUGCAACUGUUUAUUAAAAACACAGCACUGUGCAAACACGAAAGUGGACGUAUACGGUGUGACGCCUGCCCGGUGCCGGAAGGUUAAUUGAUGGGGUCAGCGCAAGCGAAGCUCCUGAUCGAAGCCCCGGUAAACGGCGGCCGUAACUAUAACGGUCCUAAGGUAGCGAAAUUCCUUGUCGGGUAAGUUCCGACCUGCACGAAUGGCGUAAUGAUGGCCAGGCUGUCUCCACCCGAGACUCAGUGAAAUUGAACUCGCUGUGAAGAUGCAGUGUACCCGCGGCAAGACGGAAAGACCCCGUGAACCUUUACUAUAGCUUGACACUGAACAUUGAGCCUUGAUGUGUAGGAUAGGUGGGAGGCUUUGAAGCGUGGACGCCAGUCUGCGUGGAGCCGACCUUGAAAUACCACCCUUUAAUGUUUGAUGUUCUAACGUGGACCCGUAAUCCGGGUUGCGGACAGUGUCUGGUGGGUAGUUUGACUGGGGCGGUCUCCUCCUAAAGAGUAACGGAGGAGCACGAAGGUUGGCUAAUCCUGGUCGGACAUCAGGAGGUUAGUGCAAUGGCAUAAGCCAGCUUGACUGCGAGCGUGACGGCGCGAGCAGGUGCGAAAGCAGGUCAUAGUGAUCCGGUGGUUCUGAAUGGAAGGGCCAUCGCUCAACGGAUAAAAGGUACUCCGGGGAUAACAGGCUGAUACCGCCCAAGAGUUCAUAUCGACGGCGGUGUUUGGCACCUCGAUGUCGGCUCAUCACAUCCUGGGGCUGAAGUAGGUCCCAAGGGUAUGGCUGUUCGCCAUUUAAAGUGGUACGCGAGCUGGGUUUAGAACGUCGUGAGACAGUUCGGUCCCUAUCUGCCGUGGGCGCUGGAGAACUGAGGGGGGCUGCUCCUAGUACGAGAGGACCGGAGUGGACGCAUCACUGGUGUUCGGGUUGUCAUGCCAAUGGCACUGCCCGGUAGCUAAAUGCGGAAGAGAUAAGUGCUGAAAGCAUCUAAGCACGAAACUUGCCCCGAGAUGAGUUCUCCCUGAGACUUAGAGUCUCCUGAAGGAACGUUGAAGACGACGACGUUGAUAGGCCGGGUGUGUAAGCGCAGCGAUGCGUUGAGCUAACCGGUACUAAUGAACCGUGAGGCUUAACCUUACAACGCCGAAG
rnacentral:rRNA from 1 species